rnacentral:misc_RNA from 1 species
AUCUUUAAAUAGAAGAUCUUUAAAACAGCUUCUGCAAAAAUUAAAAUGUAGAGAUGAUGGACAAAUGAAGAUGAUUUGUGACAAUCAAGCUACACUAUAUAUCACUUCUAAUCCUGUGUUUCAUGAGAGGACAAAGCACAUGGAGAUAGAUUGUCAUUUUAUUAGACAUAAGAUCAAGUUUGGAUGUAUUGCAACUAAUUUUGUCAGUUCAAAUGACAAGUUAGUAGACAUUGUCACUAAAUCUCUCUGAGGACCUAGAAUUGAGUAUAUUUGUAAUA